CUGUCUGACUAGCCAGGUGUCCCCUUCCUCCUGAAGCUGUGAGCUCCGUCAAAAAGGACAACCCACUCUGAUAGAGGAGGAUCGCUCUUCGAUGGAGGGUAUAUGAGUAGCUGCACUCCCCUGUUAGAACCUCCAAACAGGCUCUCAAGGGCUCUGUAAUUUCACGUCUCACCUUGGACUUUCUGAUUACUCCCUACUUUCUUCCACGUG
rfam:Pan troglodytes isolate Yerkes chimp pedigree #C0471 (Clint) chromosome 2B, whole genome shotgun sequence.